rnacentral:rRNA from 1 species
GAUGAACGCUAGCUACAGGCUUAACACAUGCAAGUCGAGGGGAAACGGCAUUUAGUGCUUGCACUGAAUGGACGUCGACCGGCGCACGGGUGAGUAACGCGUAUCCAACCUUCCCAUUACUGUGGGAUAACCUGCCGAAAGGCAGACUAAUACCGCAUAGUCUUCGAUGACGGCAUCAGAUUUGAAGUAAAGAUUUAUCGGUAAUGGAUGGGGAUGCGUCUGAUUAGCUUGUUGGCGGGGUAACGGCCCACCAAGGCAACGAUCAGUAGGGGUUCUGAGAGGAAGGUCCCCCACAUUGGAACUGAGACACGGUCCAAACUCCUACGGGAGGCAGCAGUGAGGAAUAUUGGUCAAUGGACGAGAGUCUGAACCAGCCAAGUAGCGUGCAGGAUGACGGCCCUAUGGGUUGUAAACUGCUUUUGUAUGGGGAUAAAGUCAAUCACGUGUGAUUGUUUGCAGGUACCAUACGAAUAAGGACCGGCUAAUUCCGUGCCAGCAGCCGCGGUAAUACGGAAGGUCCAGGCGUUAUUCGGAUUUAUUGGGUUUAAAGGGAGCGUAGGCUGGAGAUUAAGUGUGUUGUGAAAUGUAGACGCUCAACGUCUGAAUUGCAGCGCAUACUGGUUUCCUUGAGUACGCACAACGUUGGCGGAAUUCGUCGUGUAGCGGUGAAAUGCUUAGAUAUGACGAAGAACUCCGAUUGCGAAGGCAGCUGACGGGAGCGCAACUGACGCUUAAGCUCGAAGGUGCGGGUAUCGAACAGG